GCUUGUCUCAAAGAUUAAGCCAUGCAUGUCUAAGUAUAAGCAAUAUACAGUGAAACUGCGAAUGGCUCAUUAUAUCAGUUAUAGUUUAUUUGAUAGUCCCUACUAUUUGGAUAACCGUAGUAAUUCUAGAGCUAAUACAUGCGUAAAGCGGAGACUCACGAAUCCGCGUAUUUAUUAGAUACAAAACCAACCCGGGCAACCGGUCCUUUGGUGAUUCAUGAUAACUUUGCGAAUCGCAUAGCUUUAAUGCUGGCGAUGGGUCAUUCAAAUUUCUGCCCUAUCAACUUUCGACGGUAGGAUAGAGGCCUACUGUGGUGAUAACGGGUAACGAAGAAUAAGGGUUCGAUUUCGGAGAGGGAGCCUGAGAAACGGCUACCACAUCCAAGGAAGGCAGCAGG
rnacentral:rRNA from 1 species